AAGCUAACCCCAGGUGCCUGUUCCUGAGAAGCCAUUUCUCUGUGCAGCCUCCAGUGGAGCCAGAAGCCUGAAGUCACGAUUCGAGAGCAUGGCCAAGUCAGCUGACGAAGAAAAUAGGAAGCGGGUGGAGGAGGAACGAGUGAGGCGCCAGGCCCGGGAGCAGCGGGAGCAUCAGGCAGCCCAGCAGCAGAAGCAGCAGGAAACCCAGGAGAGUGAGGAGACGAACCGUAACAAGCCAGGUCCCACACCAGCUCUGGUACCCAGGAGGGUUUGCAAAGAACCAGCAAUGCUGCCUUGUCCACAGAGACAGCAGCAAGAGGCAAACGUACAGGAUGAGGAACAGCCCCCUGCACUGCCACCUCGGCCCUCAGACCUGGGUGAAGGUUCCAGCAAGCUGCAUGAGGAGUCGCAUGAGGAGGAGGCCGUCUAUGCUGACAGCGUGGAUCUGCAAGGGGACUACGAGGAGCUGCCAGAGCCCUCAGACGAUAACGAUGGUGCUGACAUGGACAGAGACUACGAGGAGCUGCCAGAGCCCUCGAGGGAGUCGGAGGCCAUCUACGAUGAGGGUGUCGAUACGAGUGAGGACUAUGAGGAGAUCCCCCCAGAGAGUGCAUCCAGCAGCAUCAGGAACAUUCCCUGCCCUGAAGUGUGUGAGAAUGUGUACGAGGCAGAUGAUGCUGGGAUUUCUGC
rnacentral:lncRNA from 1 species